UAGGGAAUCUUCCACAAUGGACGCAAGUCUGAUGGAGCAACGCCGCGUGAGUGAAGAAGGUUUUCGGAUCGUAAAGCUCUGUUGUUGGUGAAGAAGGAUAGAGGUAGUAACUGGCCUUUAUUUGACGGUAAUCAACCAGAAAGUCACGGCUAACUACGUGCCAGCAGCCGCGGUAAUACGUAGGUGUCAAGCGUUGUCCGGAUUUAUUGGGCGUAAAGCGAGCGCAGGCGGAAGAAUAAGUCUGAUGUGAAAGCCCUCGGCUUAACCGAGGAACUGCAUCGGAAACUGUUUUUCUUGAGUGCAGAAGAGGAGAGUGGAAUUCCAUGUGUAGCGGUGGAAUGCGUAGAUAUAUGGAAGAACACCAGUGGCGAAGGCGACUCUCUGGUCUGCAACUGACGCUGAGGCUCGAAAGCAUGGGUAGCGAACAGG
rnacentral:rRNA from 1 species